UGGAACCCGCUGGGGCUCCGCUCCCCCUGCGCGAGCCCGCGCGUCCUUCCCGGCGAGGUCCCUGCGCGGCGCGGCCAGGCUCAGUGCAUGUGAGUGAGAUCAUCCUUGACCAGCCUGCCCCCACCAGCCCACCUGCAGACUGCACACUCGUGAGGAUAUGCAGCCAGUAUUUCAGGCCCAGCUAAAGCCAGCCUGGCCCAGACUAAUAGAAUUGCCCAGAUGACUCAUCAAUUUGUCAGCUGGCUCCAAUCCUGAGGUCAUCACUCAUCAAGAGGGGAUAAUCCCAAGGACAGCAGGAUCGGCUUCGUCACUUGGAUUUAGGAGCGAGAAACCCAUCAGGCAACUAAACAGUAACAAUGACCCACCAUUAAACACACAGAGAGAAGAGCACGACAAGGAGUUUGUACAAGAAGAAGCCAGGAGCACUCGCUGACAGCGCCUACUGAGACGCUGACCACUGUGAGCUCUGCCCACUGAACUGCAGUACAAAAUCGCCCUCUCCCCAGAGUCACUUAGACGUGCACACAACAUCAGUUCAGACAAUGGGCUCUGCACAGACUUAACAGAGUGAAAAGAAUUUGGGGGUCAGAUGGACCUGGGUUUGACUUGUUACACUGCCACUUUUCUGUAGAAUGCUUUGGUCACAUUUUCAAAUGUCUCUGAGCCUCAGUUUCCUUGUCUGCAAAAUGGAGCUAAUACCUACUCUGAGGCUUUUAAGAGGAUCAAAUUCAACAGUGUCUUAAAAGCACAAGCUACACAGGUACUUCUCUUUACGGAAAAAGAGCAAGAUGGGGACCAAAAAGGGAACCAAUACAAAGAGAGCUGUUUGAAAAAUUAUCCUUUGUUGCAGGCACUCAGACUCAGUAGGUAUGCUUAUUUCUUUAGCUCGGAUACCAGGGGGAAAAGACGGAGAGAGAAAUGGGGAAAGGCAGGAAGCCAGAAUCUCCCUCUUGUAUGAGAAGAUUCACUCGAACUAAUUUUCAGACAAUGUCACUCUCCUUUCUCAAACACUGGGACCACAGGGCAUUAUGCCAAAGAAGUCAGCAGCCUGGCAGAUAUUUUAAACUGAUUCUGAGACCGAACAACAGGCCAUUUGCGCCAUAUGCCACUGACAUGUUAAUCUAGGCAAAGAUACUAGGCACCUGGGGACAUCCAUGCUGAAAUGCCACUUAGGCAGGGCACAGCAACUCCAACGACAGAAGUUCAACAAGGCAAAUGGCGAGGGCGGCCGAGAAGAUACAAGUGGAAAGGAGGAGUGAACGGGAGAUAGUGUUUAAUCCUUGAAAGAUUUUCUGAGUUGUAGACACUUCAUUAUGCUUCUAGGAGAGCUGCGGAUUUAACAAACAUCAAAACUGUGUAUUUACAGGCUGGACAAAUGAGUGUCUACCACUUUUGCACCCAUUAUACUAUGUGACCGCCAGCCCCAUGACCCUUGUAUCCAUUGGCAAAUACUGGGCGAUGCUCCAGUCCAUCAGAAUGACCUCCUUUAUCCCUGCGGUUUCAUUGUAAAAAGCAAGUAGCUGCCGAGUGCCUCUAGCAGAUGCCCCAGUGUCAGACUUUCCAGGGUCCAAUUUGGUCGGAGCACUCUGGGCCUUUGGUCUCCCUCUCCCCUUUGCCCAGCCCUGUUUCUUGUUUACUAUGAGCAAUAAUGAGCUUCUCCACCCCAGCAUGAGGACAGGCUCACAGCCAGCACAUGAAAAAGGCUGAGCUCGUGUGUGGCAAUUACUCUAUUUCAUGGGCAGAUCACACAACUCUUUUUUUCCUUCUUCUGUGAUACAACUACACUAAUGAUUUUUUUUUAAGUAGGAAGAAGGCAGCACUAUGGCCUUCAGGGAAUAAAAGUCACACAGCAGGAGAACUGCAACAGACAUCAUAAAAGGAGCUCACAAUGAAAUGUCCACCCACCCUUGUCAUUGGACCAAAUGAUUUUCCAGGAGCGAAAGGAUCAUUCUAAUUUAGGAGAUCUUAAUAAACAAAUAGAAUCACUGUCUUCAUUAUCUUCUUCCAGGCAAAUGAAACUUUAAAAACUCAGCUCUUCCUGUUACCAUUAGUUAUUUUUCAUAGUCAGAAGAUUCUGAAAGAUCAUAAAAAUAAGAUUAGGCCACCAAAGAAUGUGGGUGCUCCCUAGCAUUCUCUCUGGUGUGUAGUUCAGUUUUUGUCCUUGUUGGGUGUGGGCUCUGGAAUCGGCCCUUGAUUUAAAUCCAGAGCCCUGUCCCUUACUCACUAAUGACCACUGGCAACUAACUCAACGUCACCCCCAAAUCUCUGCUUCUUCAUCUGUAAACGUGUACAGAGUAACCCCAUCUUCCAGGGGGUUAUUAUGAGAAUUAGAGAAGACGUGUGUAAGCGAGGAGCAUACUUUCAGGCAUGUGGGUAACUGUAUUAAAAUGAUAGACUUGAUCUUGGGAACCACAUGUGACUUAUUUUUUUUAAUGGAGAGAGAUUAUUUCUAUGAAUUCUUAGCAAAGACUAAAUAGAUGUUUUAAUCACAAAAUCAUGGCCAUCUUCUGAGCCUUCACCACUAGACCCAUUGGGCUGUGUUAUGCCUUAUAAAAGAUUUGUAAGGAGUAGGAGAGUUGGUUUUUUGCUCAGGAAUAGCUUAAUGUCAGCCCCGGAGAACAGUAAGAUCACUCUGAGUCUACGACCCAACACUCAACGACCCCACGCUCGUGCUCUACGCACCCAGAAAACCCAUCUUGAAUGAAAUCCAAACACUCUCUUGCUUAAAUCUCAUAACUGAUCUCCUUGCACCCAUCCUUGAUCCCUACAGCCAAUUCAAGGAGCACCAGGGAGCUCUCUAGAAUGUAAGGUAUUCAAUACGUCACAUCAUCUCAAAACUUGCUGAUGGCUCCCUAUCUUGCACUGAAGGAAAUCCGAAGUCCUCACUCCAAAGCUCUUCAUGGUCUGGGCUCCAGUUACAUUUCUGAUCACAUCUCUUACCACGCUCUCCAGGUCUCUCCAGUCAUACGAGUCUCCUCAAACACACCAAACAUGCUCUUUCUCUCUGGAAUAUUCUUCCCCAUGAGCCCAUAGGGCUUUCUCCUUUACUUCGUUCUGUCUUUUGCUCAAAUCUCACAUAAUCAGAGAAAGCGUCCCCGACCACUCUUUUCAGUCGCCCCACCCUGCUGCUCUGUGACCCCUUACUCUGCUUUAUUUUUCUUCACAGAGCCUUCAAGACUCAAUAUAAGCGGGUUAAUGUAAUGAGCUCUAGUCCCCACCACUACAGCUGGUCUCAAGGCCAUAACUGAUGCCUACCAACUUCAUCUUCUACCACUCAUUGUAGAUUUCCCUCACUCUUUGCCAGCACCUCAGCUGGUCUAGGUUGCUUUCUAGGUGGAGUGACUUAGAUCUGUAACCCCAAGGGGUCUGAAUUUCUUUAGUCCUUUUGGACUGAGGUUGCUACAGUUCCCAUUUAUAGUUACCGGGCAAGUUACCUCACCAAGAGGUGACCCACUGAAUCCCUGAGUCCUAGACAUACUCCCUUCUGCCCUGCUACCUUCAUUGUGUAGUGGCAACUCUAGUUCCUCAGAGUAAUCAGGGUCAAUUUCCCUUAAUAAAAAUUGCACAAAUGGGUCACUAAGAAUGAUGAUGAAAGGGACCAAUCCUAUUUCCACCCACUGAUUCCUGGACCCACAUACUCUUCCUAUUAGAGAAUCAGUACUGUUGGUUCUGUGUGUAUACUGCACGUUGGAGGCUACAGUCCAACCCCAUAGAGUGUUAUGCCCAAACUAGUACCGUGAGACUUUAAUAGGCAAGUCCAUUAUUCUACUAGGCUGGCUACCCCUUGGGGAUGAAGUACAUUGUAAGACUAAUAAACCUCAUUGUCAUAUGCCCAUUGGCACACUCCCCCUUACCAUUAAAUGGGUCCCAUUACCCUGAGGUAAUGUUGUAUGGGAUCCCAUAUCAGUAGAAAAGGCAUUCUAUAACUCCUCAGAUAUUGGUUUUGGCAACAGCACUGAGGUCAAGGAAGGCAAAGCCAUAUCCUAAGUAGGUGUCAACUCCAGUAAUGGAAUUAGGUCUGAUGUAAUCAACGUGCCACCUAGUAACUGGCUAGUCUCCUUAAGGAUGGUGCCUUAUCAGGCCAGUCUGCACCGCUGGCAGGAUGGAUAUUCAGCCAUGGCAGGCACUAUAUCAGCCUUGGCAAAAGGGAGUUGACACUUCUGUGUCCAAACCUAGUCUCUACCCCAUCACCAUGGUCAUGGCAUUCGUGAACCCAUUGCGCAAGUACUGGAGUGGCCGUGGAGAGAGGCUCACUGACAUCCAGGAGACAGGUCAUCCUCUCUACUUGGUUGUUGACCCUAUUGAUUCACUGUGGAGGAUACUCAUGGCAUUGACAUGAGAGUCAAUAAUCCUUACUCUUAAUGCCUUCCCUCAUAAAUCCAUCCACAUACCUCUUCCUCAAACUUCCUUAUAUAUGCCCUGUAAAUAUGGAUAUUAUCAAGCUGGUCAUCACUGAAGGCCAUUUAGAAUGUGUCUCAGCAUUGUCUACAUAAGGGGCAGGUGAGAGCAGCUCCACCCACCAGUUUCCAUCCCCAUUAGUCAAGGGUUGCUCCAAAGGGUGUUAAUCCCUCUGAAUGUCUAGGUUUGCAUAUGUGUGAGUGCUAAGCAGAUUCCUGAAGAUACCCUGUUAGGUUAUCAGAGAAGCUCAGGUGAGAGAGUGUAACAGAUUCAGGGUCCAGCUGAGAUAAGAUCCCUGUCUGGUUAUUCCAGGGCACAGCUGGUUGGUGCAGCAAAAUUUGGAGUAAAAAGUGGGCAGAGGGCUUCCCUGGUGGCGCAG